rnacentral:miRNA from 1 species
GGUGAAUCAUGUCGGACACA